rnacentral:rRNA from 1 species
UACGAAGGGGGCUAGCGUUGCUCGGAAUCACUGGGCGUAAAGCGCACGUAGGCGGAUUGUUAAGUCGGGGGUGAAAUCCUGGAGCUCAACUCCAGAACUGCCUUCGAUACUGGCGAUCUUGAGUCCGGGAGAGGUGAGUGGAACUCCGAGUGUAGAGGUGAAAUUCGUAGAUAUUCGGAAGAACACCAGUGGCGAAGGCGGCUACCUGGACGGUGACUGACGCUGAGACGCGAAAGCGUGGGGGGAGCAAACAGG